rnacentral:lncRNA from 1 species
GUGUUUGGUUUUGUUCUUCAAAAUUCUCCGUCAGAGUCGGAGCUGCGUUGUCUGACCGUAGAUCGACGUGUCGUCGAUAAGGGGUGCUUUACCCUGUGUAAUUCAGUCUAUGGAAGUGGGCUUGGUCCUUGCGGUAUCGGUUUUUGCCCGAUUUUCCAUAAUUAACUGGACAAUUAUUUUAUUCUUAUUUAAUAAAUGAGGCAACCUCCGCCUCCGUUUCGAAAAAAAAUGAGUGGACCAAGAGGGUGGUCUGCGACAAUGUGGG